CUCUUUAGGAAAGCUUAUGGCCUCUCAGAGUAACCUCUACCACACAUACCUGUUACUUGCUCUCCUAAAGGACAGCACUCUACUCUCUCCUCCCAGCUCUGCUUCACUCUCACCUUAUUUGACUGCUAUCUACUGUCCUAUUGUGUUUUAUACCCCACCUUCUAUAGACUGUAAGCCUGUGUGAGCAGGGUCCUCUUCUACCUAUCGUAAGUUUUUU